AUGGUGGUCAAUGUGCGGGGCGAGGGCGGGUGCCCUUCUAUGGCUGGCGUGCUUCAGGCGGCGGUGCUCCGGCGGCUCAAGGCCAUGCAGGAGCUGCGGGUGACGGCAAUCCGGUCGUGCUCCUGUGACAUCGUCAUCUGCAUGGACGUCAGGGUGGAGCCCACGGUGCGUGCGCUGGAAAAGGCAAUUCGACUUGAAUUCUUUCGAAUUAUGAAUUGCUCAGUACUAUCAGUGCCUCAGUACGGCCAACGACAUUCACGAGUGCCCGAAUUAGUCAACGGAGUACUGUAUAAUAUAGUCGCAAGUUGA
rnacentral:rRNA from 1 species